rnacentral:rRNA from 1 species
CCUACGGGUGGCAGCAGUGGGGAAUAUUGGGCAAUGGGCGCAAGCCUGAACCAGCCAAGUAGCGUGAAGGAUGACGGCCCUACGGGUUGUAAACUGCUUUUAUAAAGGAAUAAAGUGAGGCACGUGAGCCUUGUUGUAUGUACAUUAUGAAUAAGGAUAGGCGAACUCCGUGCCAGACGACGCGGUACUACGGAGUAUGCGAGGGUUAUCCGGGUUUAUUGGGGUUAAAGGGAGCGUAGAUGGGUUGUUAAGUCUGUUGUGAAAGUUUGCGGCUCUCCCGUAAAAUUGCAAUUGAUACUGGCAUCCUUGAGUACAGUUGAGGUAGGCGGAAUUCGUUGUGUAGCGGU